ACUGUGGAGUGUACAAGAACUUGUGAGUAGUGGGAACACAAAAGCAUACACGAAGAAGCAGUAA
rnacentral:sRNA from 17 species